UACAAUAAAUGAUAUGACAGUGUAAAAAACCACAAUACUAGGACAACCAACUAGAGAGCAUUCAUAAAACAGGCAAGGAACUCCCCUUCAAAGCUGCAUCUCACCUUAUAGCUGCGUGCGUUUUCCUCCAUAUCUGUUCCUUCAAAGCUCCCCAAAAUCAAACCAAUACACAACCCACACUUGUUUCUUCAACAAACACCAAAGCCAUGACUUUUCCUUCUUCUCCACUUCCAUUCAUGUUCGUCAUCAUAACGUUUCUAUUGGCUCUUCUUCAUAGAAACGCUGCUGAAACUUCCACUUCCACUUCCACAAAUAUAGUUCACAUGGACAAAGCCCUCUUUCCUCAGGUCUUCAAAGCCCAUCAUGAGUGGUUUAAUUCCACCAUUGAUUCCAUAAAGUCAGCAACAGUUAAGAACUCAUCUAAGCAAACCCAGAAGCUUGUAUACUCCUACGGUCAUGCCAUGCAUGGCUUUAGUGUUGUGCUAUCAUUAGAUGAGCUGAAGAGUCUUAAGAACGCCCAUGAAUUUGUUGCUGCGUACCCGGAUAUAACUGCAAAUCUUCACACCACUCACACCUUUGAAUUUCUCUCCCUUGAUCCUUCUAGAGGACUAUGGCAUGCUUCUAAUCUCGGGGAUGAGGUCAUUGUUGGUGUCAUUGACAGUGGUGUGUGGCCUGAGAGUGAAAGCUUCAAAGAUGAUGGCAUGACCAAGGAAAUACCAAAGAGGUGGAAAGGAACAUGUGAGUGAUAAGUGCCAAAUUCACCAUGUUUUCCAUCAUAUUUUAGGCACUUAUCUAUUGUUAUUAUGGGUGAAGAGUAUUAGAGAAAGUGCAUGAUUUGAAUGAAAGAAAGCUUGUAAAUGAAAAAAUCCACUUAGCCUUGAAGAAUCCCACUCAAGAACUUUGAAAUAUCAAGAAAUUAACCUUGUUGUUCCAAUCAUGCUUAGCAUGUGUUCCAGGGUGCUAAGCACCAUCUGGCAAUGGAGGCUCCUUCAGCAUGAAGUAACAGGGUGCUAAGCGUUUAAAAUGAAGUGCUAAGCAUCAUCUGGCGGUGGGGAAUCCUUCAGCAUGAAGAAACAGGGCGCUAAGCACCUAAAGUGGAGUGCUAAGCACUCUGUAACAGAUCUGCAAUGCUAUAAAACUCAAAGUUCAGCACAAAACAGGGAGUUCACGAAAAUCAGAGAUAAAUACACAAACCCAUCACUUGGGGAAAUGGAGAACUCAAAGGAGAUCAUCAAGGGUGACCUAGGAGACUAGAGAGAAAGCUUUGGAGCUGAUUUCAUCGUCGGGAAACCGUCACGAGUCGGUUUUUCAUCGCUCUUCUUCUCUUUUAUCAUUGUAAAGCUAUCCAUGGAAAUGGAUAGCUAAUUUCUCAUUUGUUGGGAUUAGAACUAGUUGUUUUGAUGCUCAUGUAAUAUAUUUGAUUUCCUUUCAUGCAAAUUUCAUGUUUCUAUGUUAAAGAAUCAAUGGUUUUCUCUUAUGCUUCAA